rnacentral:tRNA from 9 species
GAGAAAGUAUGCAAGAACUGCUAAUUCAUGCCUCCAAGCUUAACAACUUGGCUUUUUCA